CGUGGGUAACCUGCCCAAGAGAUCGGGAUAACACCUGGAAACAGAUGCUAAUACCGGAUAACAACAGAUGAUGCCUAUCAACUGUUUAAAAGAUGGUUAUGCUAUCACUAUUGGAUGGACCUGCGGUGCAUUAGCUAGUUGGUAGGGUAACGGCCUACCAAGGCGAUGAUGCAUAGCCGAGUUGAGAGACUGAUCGGCCACAUUGGGACUGAGACACGGCCCAAACUCCUACGGGAGGCAGCAGCC
rnacentral:rRNA from 1 species